rnacentral:rRNA from 1 species
AGUGAACGCUGGCGGUAGGCCUAACACAUGCAAGUCGAACGGCAGCACAGUAAGAGCUUGCUCUUACGGGUGGCGAGUGGCGGACGGGUGAGGAAUACAUCGGAAUCUACUUUUUCGUGGGGGAUAACGUAGGGAAACUUACGCUAAUACCGCAUACGACCUACGGGUGAAAGCAGGGGAUCUUCGGACCUUGCGCGAUUGAAUGAGCCGAUGUCGGAUUAGCUAGUUGGCGGGGUAAAGGCCCACCAAGGCGACGAUCCGUAGCUGGUCUGAGAGGAUGAUCAGCCACACUGGAACUGAGACACGGUCCAGACUCCUACGGGAGGCAGCAGUGGGGAAUAUUGGACAAUGGGCGCAAGCCUGAUCCAGCCAUACCGCGUGGGUGAAGAAGGCCUUCGGGUUGUAAAGUCCUUUUGUUGGGAAAGAAAAGCAGCAGGUUAAUACCCCGCUGUUCUGACGGUACCCAAAGAAUAAGCACCGGCUAACUUCG